CCCCUUUAAUGGCUGGAAAAGAAAAAUGGGAGGUGUAGCUCACCAAAAUCUGGAGAAUUAGGUUUGGCAAUAAAAUACACGUUAAGAAAAGAUACUCCCUUAUAGCGGCACUGCCAUAGCUACAUCAGUUAAGUCACCCACAAAUGCCUCUAGGUCCUCCAUUUCAACCGGAGCGCUCUGAGCUAACUUGCAUGUUGUGGGAAGGGUUCC